rnacentral:lncRNA from 1 species
AGGGCUGUUUCACCUUGGGAGACACGCCAUGGAAUGAUGAAUACAAUAUGAAUAAUCCACCAGACGCUGGGGCACCAUGCUGUUGGAUUUCCCAACAUUCAGAACUGAGAGACUCGUUUUGCUUAUGGGCUAAGGGAAAACUUCCCAUGGAGAGAAAGGGAUUGAAGAUACAGAAAAAAGAGAAUCAUUAAUGGAGGAAGUUUCCAGAAAAGCCUGAAGAUCUUGUAAAUCUAUACCCUAAGUGAAAGGAUUCGCUUUGGAGGGAAGCAACGUCAUUUUCAUCCUUGGAUAUCUAAUGGGUGGAGAUUACUCAAAAAAAUGGCUCUGAAAUAGAUCGUUUUCAACAAUGGCCACAACAAUUUCUAUCAUCAUCGUUGGUGCAUUCCUUUGCAAUGUGACUCUAUUGCCUUUGCCAUUCAGAAGCAGAGUUGUUUUCUUUUUUUCCCCCUCUUCAAUUUGGUCUGAACUUGUAACUUGUUUUGAUGAAUAGAACUCUACAGAUAUGGUAUGACUUCUUUUGAUUUUUUAUUUUUUUUGAGAUGGAGUCUCACUCUGGUCCAGACUGGAGUGCAGUGGCACGAUCUCGGCUCACUGCAAUCUCUGCCUCCCAGGUUCAAGUGAUUCUUCUGCCUCAGCCUGUAGCUGGGACUACAGGCACGCACCACCACGCCCGGAUAAUUUUUGUAUUUUCAGUAGAGACGGGGUUUCACCAUGUUGGUCAGGCUGGUCUCGAACUCCUGACCUCAUGAUCCACCCACCUCGGCCUCCCAAAGUGCUGGGAUUACAAGUGUGAGCCACCAUGCCUGGCCAGAUAUGGUGUGACUUCUGAGCCUCAGCCUCAUGAAGCCUUGUAGCUUCUGCUCUCACUGCCUUGCUGCCCUGGUCCUGCUAUGUGUAGAAGCCAAGCCUAGUCUUGAGGAUGGGAAAUGAUGUGGGGUGAGAGGCCCCACCCAUGGCCAGCACCAACAUCACACAUGUGAGCAAGGCCAUCUUGGAUCAUCUCAUACCAGUCAAGCUUCUUGAUGGCUGCCAGUACAUGAAGAAUCCCAGAUGAAAAAACUGGGAAUCAGAGAAGUUAAGAAAUAAGCUCAAGAUCACCUAUAUAGUAAACGGCAAAAUCAGGAUCUGAACCUGCUGAUUCCAGAGCUCAUGGAGAGUUCCAGUGGGCAACUUGGGAAAAGGAGGAAGCAUGAGAGAGGAGAUGAUCAGCUUGCUACACUAAAAGCCGCUUCAGCAAACUGCUGUGUACUCUACUGGAUAUUAACAGAUAGAGAGGUAUAUGGAGACAACCUUUUGAAUGAGGGUUUUAUGAUCUGCUUGGAAGUGAAGGAUGAGGGGAAGGUAAGAGAGAUAUUCCUGCUUCUGCAGUUUCUCAAACGUUAAGGUGCCAUAUUUUUGGAUAGCGCACCCUAAACCUCAUCACACCCAACACAAAGAAUCUCAGUUCUAGUCAUGUCAAAAGUCCUAUGUACAUUUAUAUCAUUCCUACAUAAGCACCUCAUCUCCAUUUCUCCAUCUUCCCUCAUUUUUUUCUUUUCCUGGAUGUAUACUUCCUUUAUAUUUCUUAAAGAUUCUUUAGCAUCUUUGAUCUUUGCUUUAGCAUCUUUGAUCUUUGGUGGGCCAUUAAGUAUAGAACAGUUUUGGCCAUCAAUUUCCCUCUGCUUCUGACUAUAACAUGUUCUCACUGCAAAGAUCAUCUUUGACCCCCAAGCACAAACCUGGAUUUAGCCCAUUUGAUUAGUUCUCCUAAUGUUCUCUUUUGUAGUGUAUUUUUUGUAAUCCCCAAUUUUUUCAAUCCCCAAAAUAGAAGCAAGAUUGAAGAGUUACUUGGUAUUACCUUGACAAUAUUAAUGAGACACAGUCAGACAAGGUUUAAUGAGUAGAUGCAAGUGAAAGGCGUAUUCCAAAACUGUCUUAUGAUGUGUGUUUGUGUGUGUGUGUGUGUGUGUGUGUGUUUGGUGUGAUAGGAAUGGGUAGAAGAGGAAGGAGAUGGGGGUUUCCUAGGAUCUAUGAAUCAGCCAUCUGCUCAGUCUGAGAGGCUACAACUCAGACAGGGUCAGUGACCAGGAUCAUUGAUUGCUUGAGCACAGAGAUUACACAUUUGAAACAAGCUCCGCAGCUUGAACUCUCUUUAACUACCAGUAACAAAUUCUCUUGCCUCAUCUUCACUGGAACAGAAUGAGGGAUUGAUAAGUUCAAUCAAAUACACCGCGUUCCUUUGGUGUGAAAAAUAUUGCAGAAACAAGAUGUUGAUAAGGCAACAUGUAAAAUAGAGAAGUGCUUCAGCAACACUGCUUUGGAGUGGAAUUGAAAGGAUAUAAUGAAAGUGGAAAUGAUUUUUCAUUUUCAAAAAGUAGAAGCUUGCUUUCAGUGAAAGAGUAAAUAACAUUUGUGAAUGAAAUUUUACUCAUGUUUGACUUCUCCAAAUCUAAAAUAAAAUAUAUGCUUCUUCGGGAAAUCAUAUGCAACGACUCUUUAGUAGCCCUAUUCUUCCCUAAUAAAUGUUCAUUCUCAAAGUGUGGCAUACAAAAAUGAGACAAAUCUAUAUUCUUUCCAACAUGUGCAGUCACAUACACACUUUUUUUGUGUGCCUGUGGGCUAAGACUCCCUCUACUUGAGGGAGGCUUGAGGAAUCAACAAAGAGAGAACCUGAGUUCCCACAGUUGUGUGAUAAAUCCAGCAGACACUUGUAUACAUGAAAAAUAAAUGGUGUUUUCUCCAUAUUGGCACCACG